GGAAGCUUGGUCUGUCUCUGACAGAAUACUUAUAGCUGUUUUCUCUUGUCCUCAAAUACUGUGACAGGAGAGACACUAAGCAGUGCUGGCAGUGGUUAUUUAUCAUUUUCACUUAUUCACAAGUCAGGGGUCUUCAACCUUUAAGACAGUGUGGGCCACAUAAAAAAAUGAAACGAAGCCGAGGGCCACUAAGCUAUACUGCGGCCUGCAAGCUCCUCAAGAGGAUAGUCUACCUCAGUCUUUCCACUCUGCUAUCCUUCCACUCCCCCCUCAACCUAGUUUCCACCAACUCCACUGAAGCUACCCUCCGUAACGUCAUAAAUACAUAGCAACAUAGUUGAUGAGGAUGAAAAAAGAAAAAAAAGUCGACAGAGUUCAACCUGUAUUAUAAAAUUUAAUUUAAUUUAGAUCAGGGAUGGUGAACCUUCGGCCCUCCAGCUGUUGUUGA